rnacentral:rRNA from 1 species
ACAUGGUUCACCGUGGUAAUUCUAGAGCUAAUACAUGCGCCCAAACCCAACUUCGUGGAAGGGUUGUGUUUAUUAAAUACAGAACCAACCCAGGCUCCGCCUGGCAUUGAGGUGAUUCAUAAUAACCGAACGGAUCGCAUGGUUCGCCGGCGACAAAUCAUUCAAGUUUCUGACCUAUCAGCUAUCGUCGGUAGGGUAUUGGCCUACCGUGGCAAUGACGGGUAACGGAGAAUUAGGGUUCGAUUCCGGAGAGGGAGCCUGAGAAACGGCUACCACAUCUAAGGAAGGCAGCAGGCGCGCAAAUUACCCAAUCCUGACAUAGGGAGGUAGUGACAAGAAAUACCAAUACGGGGCAUCCAUGUCUCGUAAUUGGAAUGAGUAAACUUUAAAUCACUUUACGAGUAUCAAUU